UAGAGCGUAUGACGGGCCUUAUGUUUACUGAAUUUUUGCUCGCGGACGAAGACCAUGGGGAAAUAUAUGCGGGGGUACUUUUACAAUCGCGAUUUCGUAGGUCACAAGUACAUGCGUGUACACGGUCACGGUUUCUUCUAUCAUACCGCAGUCGUGAUCGGUAAAACCAGAAUUUAUGUCGUAGUGAGAUAAUCGAGAAAGUCAUUCAUUUUAACGAUGGAAAUUUUUCUCUUCCCUGUCCAAUUUAUACAUGGAUACAGUUACCAUAAUAUGUUACUGGUACCAAGUCAGUAACACUCAUAUCGUUCAGCCUACGAUCAUAAUUUUACGAUACUCAUUUAAAAAAUCCAACGUGUGUGUCAAACGUGAAUCUCAUACUUUUUCUCUAUCAGAUAAAACCGGUUAGCUAUAAUUUUGUAACGGAAUAUUGGUUUUACUUUGACACUUGUCAUGUGUCUGAGAAUUUCGGUAGUUUAAAAUCAUCACGAUUUUAACCGCGACGCAGUGCAUACCGGAUAAUUCAAUAUGGCCGCUGCAGACACUGUGGUGGCUUCCGUCGUCGUCAUUUGUCUGUUGACAUUUGACAACUGUAGAUUCAAAAUCUGCCUAGAUUACAACGGGAUCUUGAAAGAUGCAAAACGGCGAAUCCAAAACGAAGAACGUAAGCGAUCAACACGUCGUUGCGGUGAAGGUCAAUGAUUAAUAAAAUUCAUCAAGCCUAAGAUUCAAUAGGUGUACGUGUUCAUUUAGCAUACACACAAUACCCCACCUCGGCAUGUGAAUUAAAAUUGCAGACCGUAUUCAAGCUAAUUAAACUAUCAACAUGGGACGAACGGUGACUGUAGCAGUUUGCACCCUGAAUCAAUGGGCGAUGGAUUUCAGUGGAAAUUUGGCAAGAAUAUUGCACAGUAUACGAGAGGCCAAAGAGUUGAAAGCAACUUACAGAAGUGGUCCGGAACUUGAAAUAACUGGUUACAGCUGUGAAGAUCAUUUUUAUGAGUCUGACACACUCCUACAUAGUUGGGAGGUUUUGGCAGAACUAUUAAAAUCUCCGCUGUGCGAAGACAUAUUAAUUGAUGUCGGUAUGCCUGUUAUGCACAAAAAUGUCAACUAUAAUUGUAGAGUAGCCUUUCUCAACAAAAAGAUAAUAUUAAUCAGACCAAAAAUGAAAAUGUGUGGAGAGGGUAACUACAGAGAGUCCAGGUGGUUUUCGGCUUGGACCAAGGAGCGGACAGUCGAAGAUUAUUUUCUACCUAGAAUGAUAUCGUACAUAACUAAUCAAACGGUAGUACCAUUUGGCGAUGCCGUUAUUUCAACAAGAGAUACCUGUAUAGGCUUUGAAAUAUGCGAAGAGCUGUGGAAUCCGAGCAGCAAUCACAUACCCAUGAGCUUGGAUGGAGUGGAAAUAAUUGCUAAUGGAAGUGGGUCGCACUUUGAAUUGCGCAAAGCGUAUGUUACCGUUGACCUUGUUAAAUCAGCUACCCUAAAAGCUGGCGGUUGUUACAUGUUCAGUAACUUGAGAGGAUGCGAUGGCGCCCGAAUUUAUUUUAAUGGUGGAUCCAGCAUUGCUCUAAAUGGUCAAAUAUUAAAUCGUGGAAAGGAAUUUGCAUUACAAGAUGUUGAAGUUACCGUGGCAACUUUUGACUUGGAAGAUAUACGGUGUUAUAGAAAUGGUAUCAGAUCGAGAACGCACUUGGCUGCCAGGAGUCAACCUUAUCCUCGAGUGAAAGUUGACUAUUCCUUAACUUCAGAGGUAUUCUCUUGUAAUCGUCCAAGUAUUCCUAUAGAAUGCAGUUACUACCCAGUAGAGGAAUCUGAAUCUUUGGGCUGGCGUUACUACACGCCCGAAGAGGAAAUCUCAAUGGCUCCAGCUUGUUGGCUGUGGGAUUACUUGAGGCGAUCCUGCCAGGGAGGGUUCUUCUUACCCCUCAGUGGAGGUGUAGAUUCGUCAUCGGUAGCGUGUUUAGUCUACUCAAUGUGUGAUAUGAUCGUUGACGCUGUUGAUAAAGGAGAUUCGCAAGUUCUUUCGGACAUUAGAAAAAUCGUGGGAGACAGCGAAUACGUCCCCACAGAUCCCAAGCAGCUGUGUAAUGUUAUUCUGUUCACUUGCUAUAUGGCGACCGAAAAUUCUUCUGCCGAAACUAAGGCUCGAGCUGCUGAUCUAGCCAGCCAAAUUGGAUCAUAUCACCACAGUAUCGUUAUCGAUUCAGCCGUCUCUGCAGUUCUCGGUAUAUUCCAGCAAAUCACUAAAAUGGUACCAAAAUUUAAGGUAAAAGGCGGAUCGCCGAGGGAAAGUUUGGCCUUACAAAAUAUUCAGGCGCGCUUACGAAUGGUUAUUGCGUAUCUAUUUGCUCAACUAAUGUUGUGGGUGAGAGGUCGACCCGGGGGCCUUUUAGUAUUGGGAAGCGGAAAUGUGGAUGAGGCUCUCAGAGGCUAUUUUACUAAAUAUGAUUGUAGUAGUGCUGAUGUAAAUCCGAUUGGUGGUGUCACCAAAAAUGAUUUAAAGAAAUUCCUUGCCUUUUUCAGAAAGAAGCAUAACAUUCACGGACUGGAUCAGAUCAUGGACGCUCAACCCACAGCUGAACUCGAACCUCUGCUGGACGGUCAGUUAGCACAGCUCGAUGAAGUUGACAUGGGUAUGACCUAUAAAGAGCUCGGAACGUUCGGUCAACUGAGGAAACAGUCUUGCGCUGGACCAUUUUCUAUGUUCUGCAAAUUGGUGCAUAUGUGGGACAACUGUACACCCAAAGAGGUUGCUGAUAAAGUGAAGCAUUUCUAUCGUUGCUACGCUAUCAAUCGUCACAAAAUGACAGUUUUGACGCCAUCGUGUCACGCUGAGACAUAUAGCCCUGAUGACAAUAGAUAUGAUCAUCGACCUUUCCUUUAUAAUCACACUUGGAAGUGGCAGUUCAAAGCCAUUGAUGACCAGGUGAGUCAACUUGAAGAUGCGGAAAUAUACGAAAAAUGUUUUUCAGUCGGCGCGGGUGUUGCCAAGAGGCAGCGGGGACUUGAGGCCGUUGAGUCUCCACUGCAAACUUGUUCGAUUAUUGAUACUCAAUCGGAUGUGCUCUGACGAUGAAGCUUCGAGGGCAUCAAAUAAUGAGCCCGGUAUCCCUUCAAAACCGAAUUUCGGAAAAACGUGGCUCAGUCCAUCUAAUAAAACCCAUCAUGGUGUUGUUGUUUAACUAGAAAAUCUGGUUAAAAUUGAUCAACGAAGUAGAAGCAGUUUAGUUGUUUUAUCUUUUCCCAAUCCGACGGAUGUUAAUGAUCAGACAAUAAUAAUGGCUAAUAAUGGAGUGGACCAAAGGUUUUAUAAUGCUUAAAUAAGGUUUUUUAUUAUCUUUCAAACUUCUACAUGCAGAAUGCAUAACCACGUUUAUUGUAAUUAUCCAUUAAUAAUAAAACUAAAUAUAUAAUAUCGGAA